UACGUAGGGGGCAAGCGUUGUCCGGAAUCAUUGGGCGUAAAGAGCGCGUAGGCGGUCCGGUAAGUCCGCUCUGAAAGUCCGGGGCUCAACCCCGGGAGGCGGGCGGAUACUGUCGGGCUAGAGUCCGGAAGAGGCGAGUGGAAUUCCUGGUGUAGCGGUGAAAUGCGCAGAUAUCAGGAGGAACACCAAUGGCGAAGGCAGUUCUCUGGGCCGUAACUGACGCUGAGGAGCGAAAGCGUGGGGAGCGAACAGG
rnacentral:rRNA from 1 species